UACGGAGGGGGCUAGCGUUGUUCGGAAUUACUGGGCGUAAAGCGCACGUAGGCGGCUUUGUAAGUUAGAGGUGAAAGCCCAGGGCUUAACCCUGGAAUUGCCUUUAAGACUGCAUCGCUAGAAUCGUGGAGAGGUGAGUGGAAUUCCCAGUGUAGAGGUGAAAUUCGUAGAUAUUGGGAAGAACACCGGUGGCGAAGGCGGCUCACUGGCUCGUAACUGACGCUCAUGCACGACAGCGUGGGGAUCAAACAGG
rnacentral:rRNA from 1 species